rnacentral:lncRNA from 1 species
AAAAUAAAAAUAAAUGAAAUCAUCAUUGAUUUUAUUACUUUCAUUGACAAUGAUACAACUUUCCUACCUAGUCCAAAUAACAUGAUUUUUUUUUAUAGUUUAUCUUUUGAUACGUUGACGUUCUAGCUGUCCUGGUGGAAUUUGGAAAAUGAAAAGAACAAAGCAUGCUUAAUUGUGGUUAAAAUUCAAUUAAACAAUGUAUUAUGUCUGUUGACAAAGGCGGCACAUGUUUCCAAAGUGUCUGUUAGUUUUGGCCUUGGGUGCCUCCAUAAUG